rnacentral:rRNA from 1 species
AUCCCUGGCUCAGGACGAACGCUGGCGGCGUGCCUAAUACAUGCAAGUCGAGCGGGAUUAUAUCAGAAGCUUGCUUCUGAUAUAAUCUAGCGGCGGACGGGUGAGUAACACGUAGGCAACCUGCCCACAAGGCUGGGAUAACUACCGGAAACGGUAGCUAAUACCGGAUACAUCGUUUCCCUGCAUGGGGAGAUGAGGAAAGGCGGAGCAAUCUGUCACUUGUGGAUGGGCCUGCGGCGCAUUAGCUAGUUGGUGGGGUAAUGGCCUACCAAGGCGACGAUGCGUAGCCGACCUGAGAGGGUGAUCGGCCACACUGGGACUGAGACACGGCCCAGACUCCUACGGGAGGCAGCAGUAGGGAAUCUUCCGCAAUGGGCGAAAGCCUGACGGAGCAACGCCGCGUGAGUGAUGAAGGUUUUCGGAUCGUAAAGCUCUGUUGCCAGGGAAGAACGUCUUGUAGAGUAACUGCUAUGAGAGUGACGGUACCUGAGAAGAAAGCCCCCGGCUAACU